GGCAACACAAAAGAUUUUACUGUGACAGCAGAUGAAAGAAAUUUACUGGCACAGUCUUGGAUUUUAGGGGUAAAAGGCGAGCGCAUAAAGGACGUCUGGCGCCCGCUUGUUUGUCCUCGGGUUACGGCAGAUGUCGUGGUCUUAUUGCUUUUGGCUCUCUCGGUUCUUGUUUACAACCGUGGUCCGGCCGUCCAUGGGCCUUUAGUACGUUGUUUUUCCAAACAGGUUUUUUGCAGACGUAAAGCUUGAAUUGUUGGCAGUGCGCUGCCAUGCGACAGGGUUCCCUAAUUGAAGUAGGAAGAUGUUGCUAAUUAGCGCUGACUUUAUCGACUAACGGUGAGAUUUGCUCGACCUAUUUACUGUCGGGAGGGGCUGAGGAGGUUUACGGCGGGAUAACAAUGGAAGCCGGAGUCUCUGAGAUCAAACGAUUUUAUUUCGGUUGUAACCACGAGAAGUAGGAGCGGGGUGGAUGAGUGGUGGGGAGCCGGCAGGAGGGGAGGGGAGGCGGUCUCUGAUGGGAACGCUGCUCCAGAUUCCGAUAUCCACUUUGUUUUGUCUCUCGCUCUCCCUUGGCCCUUUGAAAUAUUUAGUAGGAAUUCUUGACUAACAUGCUCGCAAUCGCCGCGUUCCCCGAGAGGCGUCCGUCCGUCAAGCGGCCAACAUCUGGAAGCGGACAGCCGUUCCCUCCGGACGCCGCGGAUGGCCGCGUCGGAUCGAGCGGCUGCUUCCUUCCUGCCUUCCGUGGCGGGCCCGCCGGAGAGACUCUUGUCCCUCAUGCCACAAAUCCAUCCAGCCAUUCAUCUGCGGCGUAUCCCAGUUAGGUUGGAGCCGGGGUCCAUUCCCUGCUGGCUUGAGGUAGACCGGGGGCGGGUUCACCAUCUGUGGUUUCUGAAGUGGUGGAUGGGUUCCUGAAGAAUGGAUCCCCCUUGGUUUGCCCCCCCCCCCCCUCCCUCCGUGUCUUUUGGUACCUGCUGAUAGUGUCGUGGUGAAAUGAGGAGAGGAGCCUGGCUAAUCCGCCUUUCCGGGGAAAAUAUCGGCAACGGCGCAGAUUAAUAUCCAUAGAGGCCAAGGUUAAGCUGACGGACAUAAUGGCGAGCGACCCCGCCGCCGCCGCGCCGCUUGUUACCCCGCCCCGCCCCGCCGCACGCCCUUGCCUUGUUAGGGCACGGGCGCCAUACGACGGGCUUUUGUUUUAGCCAUGCUAAUAAUGCGUGUCCUCUUAUCCAUACAGAUGAGAACGGGAGAACAGAUGGCUGGGGGAAACAGGAGUCACCUCGCACAAAAUUAACCGCCGAGCAUCUUUGCAUCACCCGCUGGGAGCUGAAGAUUCUCGCCACUGAAAAUGCCACAGCUCGACGACGACAUGGCAAGGUGCCAGUUGGGCGACUGUGUGGAAAAGUUACAAGCAACAACGACAACUCGAGGCGGCCUCACCGGCCACCGGGCGCCGGUCAAUAAGCGUCAAGCCAGCAAACAAACGAUUCCUCGGAAUUGAAUUACUGGGAAAAAGAAGGAUAAAAAAAUAAACUAAAUAAAGCGUCACCAAACUUGUACCUUUUUUCUGCACUCGCUUACAACCUGAAUAAACUAAACGGCCUGACAGUCUAAUCGAUGACGUCUUCGUCACACUUUGUUACCAGUCGCCCCCCCACCCAAAAAAAACAACAACUACAGAAGACACUCAAGGACUCUGAAUGGAGGCCUGAUAAAUAAACGACGGAGGCUCCCGAUAUCUCGCUUGGAAACCUGCUUGGCCCUGUCAGCGCACGAAGCGCUUGCAUCAGUCUUCGCUCUACCUGGAAUGCUGAGAAGAGGAUUAGAGGCCAAGGAAGAACCGCCGGCGGCCUGGAGACGAGAGCAAGAAAGAAAAAAAGAAAGAAAAAAAAAAAAGGGAAAAUAAAACAAGAGCCUUUCCUUGGUAAUCCACCAGCAGAGGAUUACCAGACGAAAUAUCUUAUUCGCCUUGGUCGAUAAUGACUCUGAUGGAGAGGUCGCGCCGGCCGGGCUGAUCAGAGCGCCGAGUGCGGUGCGCCGUUUGCAUGGCGCUUGCUAAAAUAUGACAGCUUGUCUCGUCACACUCGGCCUCAAAGAGAUUGGACACGGUAGCCGGCACGCUUGAAAAGAGGGGGACCCUCACGACGGAAGAUGGGAGGAAAAUGUGGCGCUAGGAUUUUGCUUCUGCGCUGGGAACUUGCGUCAUCUUUAACGGUUGAGACCAGGACAAGACAAGGGGGAUUGAGUUUAAGACAAAACCGGGACCUUCAAGGUCUCGAGGUCUUGAGGGUUAGAAGACAAACAGAAGGUUGGCUGAAUCUUUUGGAGAAGCCAUGAGCUUAAUUUUAGCUAGCAGACAGUUGCUAGAAGAUGAAUAACCAAAUGAAGAAAUGGAAAUUACAGUGACUGGUUUGGGGCACAAUGAAAAAACUAUUUCCAACAUGAGGCAAUAAUGUCGACAGGUUAUCUGCCACCUGAGCGGCGCGCGGGAAAAGCUGUUGGGUUGUGCUACCGACAACCUAGCAAGGUGAGAACGAGUGGCAAUUCAAACAAAAAAAUCGUCAUCGGCAAUUGUUUCAACGACUUGAAAGCUUUUUUGUCAUGUGUGGCUUCGCACAUUUCAUUCAAAUAUAGAAAUGAAUGCCGCUUA